AUGAGACUGCUGGGUUUCCUCCUGUGCCUGCUGACAGCCCCCCAGGGUGUGUGGUCCCAGGUACAGCUGCAGGAGUCAGGCCCAGGAACGGUGAAGCCCUCACAGACCCUCUCCUUCACCUGCACUGUCUCUGGAUUCUCCAUCACAUCCAGUGGUUAUGCAUGGAGCUGGAUCCGCCAGUCCCCAGGGAAGGGACUGGAGUGGAUCGGGAACAUAAAUAGUGGUGGAAGCCCUUACUACAGCCCAUCCCUCAAGAGCCAUGCCUCUAUCUCCAGGGACACUUCUAAGAACCAGUUCUCCCUGCAGCUGAGCUCUGUGAGCACCGAGGACUCAGCCGUGUAUUACUGUACAAGAGACACAAAUUUUUGUUCUUACUCCUUCUGGGGGAAAAGUCCUGAAGGCCCAGCCCCACUUCAAGGACUCAUGCUGGAGAGCCCUCAUCCUGGUGACAUGGGCUACAGAGUCCUCAAGGCACAGCUCCUCACCAUGGACUGGAGCUGGAGAGCCCUCUUCUUGGUGGCAGUGGCUACAGGUGUCCACUCCCAGGUGAAGCUGGUGCAGUCGGGGGCUGAGGUGAGGAAGCCUGGGGCCUCUGUGAGGGUCUCCUGCAAGGCUUCUGGAUACACUUUCACUGACUAUCCUAUGAGCUGGGUGCGACAGCCCUCAGACAGUGCCCUACAAUACACGGGCUAG